CAUGUCUGCCAUUCGGUGUUGAGUUAUUGAGCUGUCGUUCACUCUCUUCGACAGCACAGCAAGGAAACUCAGUUUCCUCCUCCAUUUGUUCAUUCCUGCUCACUUCAAUUUGAACGAAAAUGAUCCCCACCGAGUCUGGAGGGCUCCUCCAUUCCUCCCUUUGUUUGUGUUAUUACAAGUCUCCAUAUCUCUUCCCUCCGUGACUCAGCUGACGACGACGGGCUAUUUCCGUUUGAAAGCCGGCAAAUCGGACCUCAACGUUUGACCAAUCGUCUCCCCUUCAUCUCAGGAACAAGAAACAGCCGUUGCAUGCCUCGAUUUGUUACGGUUUCGAUGAGGAUUUUUUAAUACUCCUCAGAGUUUUCCUACGUUUAUGCGAUGAUUCCGGCAAAGGUCGGCGUCGAUGUUGGUCUCAAACUAUUCCUCAGCACCUCAGAGAGAGAAAGCGGCUGGGAUAUGAGCAAUAAGCGUUUUUACAAAAUCUUAAUAUACCAGUGCGAGUGAAGUGUGUCUGUUUAGUACUAAUAUUUCAGUUCAAGUAAAGUUUACUGCAUUUUUCUACAAAUAGAUGAGCAAGUUGGCAUCUAGGAGUGCAUGUCACGUGAAGAUGAUAUUGGAGGCCUUGCAGGUAGAAUCGUUCAGGUCAUUAUUUGAGGAUUUGAUUUGAUUUGUUUUUUUCUCUUUAUUACUAAGAUUUUUCCUAACCACUUUACAUAUGGGGCUACCAAAAAACAUUGAAUUGGCACAAAAAUGGCCGUAAUUUUCAUUUUACAUAAUUUUUGCAAUCCUUUGUUGAAAUAUGCAGCACAUGGUAGGAGAUAAUUCUUCUUCAUUGUGAACAUUCAGGUAAAUCUGUCUUUCAUGGGUUUUUCUAUUAUUCUUUGCAGUUUUUCCCUGUUGCCUGCCAUUAAUUACCAAAUUAUCUAUGUGAACUAGGUCCAAGUUCAACUACUUAUGGUUUGGCACUAUACUAUAUGAUGAAUUCUCCAGUCGAAGAUACACCCUUGCUACAGAGUUUUAUCAAGGGGGAUGAUUUAUAUGAAAUUCAAGGUUUAACUUCUAACUGAUUCUUCUCUCCUCAGGGUUCAUGGAUUGUUAAGCAAUGUGUGGGAAGAAAGCAUGCCUCGUUGACCAGGCACUUGAAAUCAAUUAUUUCCACGAGAAGAACUAUUUGGAGGUAUAUCAAUUUUUAGCAUGCUUUUAUAUAUGUUCUUUGAUCACCCUACUUUGUGGACAGCUUAUUGACACUUCACUGAAAUUCAAGGCCUUCUGUUUUCGGGUUCAAUUUGUUAGAGUAUAUAGAGUUAAGGUGAUUCCAAAUGUCACAUGAUUUGUCUAUAUAUUUGUGAGGUUCAAUCAAUGUCAUAUGAAGAUGGUAGCAUGUGUUACAAGAUUAAACCAUCUCAGUAUAGUGUCAAGAUGCAGUUAGUGAGUCAG